GUGAACAAAACACUCCACAAACUUUAUUCCCAUUUCAAGCCUAGGAGAUUUAUCCAGUCCAGAACGAAACUCAAGUCAAGAAGAGUACCUUGAUCUUCUAUCACAGAAGCCAUUUUUUGCCAGCACUUCCAGAGCAAAGGAGUCACUUGGACACAGAAGCAUUUCAGUCUAUGACAGUGGAAACAAUCCUGGUGAUGUCUACUGGAACAAGCAGAUUUACUCGAAGAUCUUACUGUUGAGGUUGUUAUAGAAGAGCAACAACAGCAUUCAGAAGUAUGUAUGGUAGACAUAGGUGUCAAAGGCGACAUAUAAUUUUAGAUGUUUAAUUAAUUUUUUGUCACUAUUAACGAACGGGGCUGCUACCAAUAAAGAUAAGGAGAAGUUACGUUAUAUCCAGGGUUGUGCUGAGUAUGCAAAUGAGGGAAAUUGUGCAGGUCAAUUUGCUGAUGAAUAUCAGGGCUGUGUUAAACAUGUAAACCAGGUAAGUCGUGCAUGAUAUUGAUUGGCUGAGAGCUAUGAAUAAUGAGAUAGGUUGUGAAAUGUUAAAUUGGGUGUGAUUUGGAGGGGGACUUGGUUUUGAGGUGUGCAAGAUAGAGGACGAUGUCCGAAAUUUGAGAAUACAGAUAGAAUUGUGCACACAGCCUGCAGAUAUCAAUUGCCAUAAUAAUAAUGUGUAUUUUGAGCAUUGAAUGUUGCAAAUAGGCAGGGAACCGGGAUUGACGACUGCUACAUAAGGAAAAUAGCAUAUUGAGAAUGCAAAUUGGUGAGCUCAACAAUAAACUGAUACGAGGUGGCGGUUGCAGCUAAAACUACGGAUCUAAAUGAGCUACGGUACCUGCAUGGUGAAAACCAGAUAUUUUACACAUACUCUUGUUACGUGAGUUACAGUGAACUUAUUAUUGAGUUAAACAUUGCAUUUUGUGAACGUGAGAUACAUAACAAAAAUAACAAGAAGUUGAAGUUGAGACCGUAUAUGCGAGCUACCCCACAGUGCAGAAAACGUACGGAAGUGAAAUGCAUUAUUUUGAAUUGGAAUGGUGAACUCUACCAGCUAAUAACGAAGUGAAUAAAAGUGAAUAAAAAACUUAUUGUUGAAUACAUAUAAUAUAGAAAGCAAAUUGUGAAAAGAAAUUAAUGAUCAUA